GGUUGCUGUGACUCGGCUGUGUGGAAGACUGCUUGUAAAAAUUUAAUCAUUGUUUAGCUUCAUUUGCUGAAGUCUAAGUAACUUUUUUGCUGGCUUUUUCAGGGCUUUAUGUGGACCAAACUGAAUGUGACAAGACUAAAUCAGACAUGCAAAAAUUGAGUCAGAG